UAGGUUAUAGUUUAAUAAUCAAAAUUGAUUUUUUACAAGAAUUAAUUAUACAUAAUGUAUUAACCUAA
rnacentral:tRNA from 1 species